CCUACGGGUGGCAGCAGUCGAGAAUCAUUCACAAUGGGGGAAACCCUGAUGGUGCGACGCCGCGUGGGGGAAUGAAGGUCUUCGGAUUGUAAACCCCUGUCAUGUGGGAGCAAAUUAAAAAGAUCGUACCACAAGAGGAAGAGACGGCUAACUCUGUGCCAGCAGCCGCGGUAAUACAGAGGUCUCAAGCGUUGUUCGGUAUCACUGGGCGUAAAGCGUGCGUAGGCUGUUUCGUAAGGCGUGUGUGAAAGGCGCGGGCUCAACCCGCGGACGGCACAUGAUACUGCGAGACUAGAGUAAGGGAGGGGGAACCGGAAUUCUCGGUGUAGCAGUGAAAUGCGUAGAUAUCGAGAGGAACACUCGUGGCGAAGGCGGGUUCCUGGACAUUAACUGACGCUGAGGCACGAAGGCCAGGGGAGCGAAAGGGAUUAGAUACCCGAGUAGUC
rnacentral:rRNA from 1 species